rnacentral:rRNA from 1 species
UACGUAGGGGGCAAGCGUUGUCCGGAAUUAUUGGGCGUAAAGAGCGUGUAGGCGGCCAGAUAAGUCCGCUGUGAAAUCUCGAGGCUCAACUUCGAGCUGUCGGUGGAAACUAUCUGGCUAGAGUCCGGAAGAGGAGAAUGGAAUUCCUGGUGUAGCGGUGAAAUGCGCAGAUAUCAGGAAGAACACCCGUGGCGAAGGCGGUUCUCUGGACAGUUCCUGACACUGAGACACGAAGGCCAGGGGAGCAAACGGG